GACGAACGCUGGCGGCGUGUUUAACACAUGCAAGUCGAACGGAAAGGCCCUGCUUUUGUGGGGUGCUCGAGUGGCGAACGGGUGAGUAACACGUGAGUAACCUGCCCUUGACUUUGGGAUAACUUCAGGAAACUGGGGCUAAUACCGGAUAGGAGCUCCUGCUGCAUGGUGGGGGUUGGAAAGUUUCGGCGGUUGGGGAUGGACUCGCGGCUUAUCAGCUUGUUGGUGGGGUAGUGGCUUACCAAGGCUUUGACGGGUAGCCGGCCUGAGAGGGUGACCGGCCACAUUGGGACUGAGAUACGGCCCAGACUCCUACGGGAGGCAGCAGUGGGGAAUAUUGCACAAUGGGCGGAAGCCUGAUGCAGCAACGCCGCGUGCGGGAUGACGGCCUUCGGGUUGUAAACCGCUUUCGCCUGUGACGAGGCGUGAGUGACGGUAAUGGGUAAAGAAGCACCGGCUAACUACGUG
rnacentral:rRNA from 1 species